rnacentral:lncRNA from 1 species
GGUGUUCCUUUGAAUUUAUGGACUGUAAGCUUUUCAGGAAGUACUGGAUACCCAUCACACCAAGAAACUAUCCGUUGUUCACCUAGAAGAAGUACUAAUAAAAUAGCCGUUGGAGCUGUCAAGAUGCCAUGGGUCGACUCACCAGGUUUGGGGGUCGUCCCGUGUACAAAGAAAAACGGCUCACUGAUUUUAGAAGUCGGCUCUUUCCUUCAAUCCAUAUAAUAUUUCUGUGUUUGCUUCUAGGGUCGACUCGUCAAUGUUGGUAGUCGGCUCAUGUAGAUAUUGGGUCGGCUCAUCAAACACAAGAGUCGCCUCAUUCUUUUAGUGCUCAUAGGUUACUUGCACUCCCCCAAGGGUCGACUCAACAAUGUUGGGAGUCGGCACAUGUAGAU